GACAUAGGUGGCGAACGUUAUCCGGAUUUAUUGGGCGUAAAGGAUGCGUAGAUGGUAGAAUAAGUUAUUGGUCGAAAUCGAGCUCAACUUGAUGGAGGCUAGUAAUACUGUUCUACUAGAGGGCAGAAGAGGUUAGCGGAACUUACACAAGUAGGGGGUGAAAAUUCCAAUGAUCUGUGAGGGGACCAACCAAAAAAAAGGGCGAAGGCAGCUAACUAUUCUGUUCCUGA
rnacentral:rRNA from 1 species